CAGGGAGACAACAAAAUGUUAAAUAUUAAUUUUGUCACCUUAGGUCGAUCGGUAUCUCACAUUCUUAAAUUUAUUAAGGAUUUUAUUUCCUAAGUUUUUUCUAGGUCACACCCAUUAUUUUCCCUGGGCCAUUAGCUCAGGUGGUUAGAGCGCACCCCUGAUAAGGGUGAGGUCCCUGGUUCAAGUCCAGGAUGGCCCAUAUCUCUAUGUUGGGGGUAUAGCUCAGUUGGUAGAGCGCCUGCUUUGCAAGCAGGAUGUCAGGAGUUCGAGUCUCCUAACCUCCACUGACCGAACUUGAUUCCCAUCUCCAAUUCUUUUGGAGUUGAGCUCGAUUGGAGUGUGAUUUAGAUGUGUCCGCUGGAUGACCCCAGCUUCCUGUCAUUCCAAGUUUUAGGUUGAUUCCUUGGAUUUGGUUGAUAAGAUGCUGGGCUCAGAUCAAAUGAUCAAGCAAUUGAUGAUUUGAUUUGAAGUUCUAGCAGAACCUUGACAACUGCAUAGGUGAGUCUGGAAAAAACAAAGCAUCUUACAGAUGCAUUGUUUUGAAUCUGAUC
rnacentral:tRNA from 1 species